CCUAGAUCCCCAAAUGUUUGCAGGUGACAGGACUGGGCUGUUCUACUGGCAUGGCCAUUCAGAAGAAGGGAGCUUUCAUGGCAGUGUUUCCAAUGGAAAGAGGGGUUUCAAAAACCAGCUCGUUUGGCUGCCCCUAGGUCAUCUUCUUGGCAACGCUGGCGUAGGAAUUUCCUCUUGGAGACCAGGACUUCCUCAGUACUGUCCUGGUCGAUUUCUUCAGGGAGCGGGUUGUUCAGGUGGAGUGUGGGAGACAGCGGGGACUCCAGCCCAGCCAUAGGAUGCCCUCUCAAAGAGCAGGAAUCCUGCACAUAGGAGUUAUCACCAAUACUCAGCACCUCUAGAUCCCUGCCGCUGCUGCUGAGAAGCAUCCGCCGCCCCACACCUCUCCUGGAGGUUCUGAAGCUCCCAUUCUGUGCACCGACAUCUCCACCUUCACGGACUGGGAACAGCUGAGACACCCUCUGGAUCCCCCUGGCUGAGUGAGCCAUUUUUCUAAUAGGUUUUGCUUCAGGAUCCAGGGAAAUGAUGGACUCAGAAUAAUAAAUAAAAAUACCCCAGGGUUCCUUACUCUCAUUCGCUUCCUUGUGGGGAUUCUUGAUGUAUGCAGAGAA